UGGCCAGAUUCCUACGGGAGGCAGCAGUGAGGAAUAUUGGUCAAUGGGCGCAGGCCUGAACCAGCCAAGUCGCGUGAGGGAAGACUGCCCUAUGGGUUGUAAACCUCUUUUAUAAGGGAAGAAUAAUGACUACGUGUAGUCAGAUGCCCGUACCUUAUGAAUAAGCCACGGCUAACUACGUGCCAGCAGCCGCGGUAAUACGUAGGUGGCAAGCGUUGUCCGGAUUUACUGGGUGUAAAGGGCGUGCAGCCGGAGAGACAAGUCAGAUGUGAAAUCCGCAGGCUCAACCUGCGAACUGCAUUUGAAACUGUUUCCCUUGAGUAUCGGAGAGGUCAUCGGAAUUCCUAGUGUAGCGGUGAAAUGCGUAGAUAUUAGGAAGAACACCAGUGGCGAAGGCGGAUGACUGGACGACAACUGACGGUGAGGCGCGAAAGCGUGGGGAGCAAACAGGAUUAGAUACCCUAGUAAA
rnacentral:rRNA from 1 species